AUUGAACGCUGGCGGCAGGCCUAACACAUGCAAGUCGAGCGGAGCGGCGGACGGGUGAGUAAUGCCUAGGAAUCUGCCUGGUAGUGGGGGAUAACGUCCGGAAACGGGCGCUAAUACCGCAUACUAUCAGAUGAGCCUAGGUCGGAUUAGCUCGAGGGUGGGGUAAAGGCCUACCACGGCGACGAUCCGCAACUGGUCUGAGAGGAUGAUCAGUCACACGGGAACUGGGACAGGGUCCAGAUUCCUACGGGAGGCAGCGGUGGGGAAUAUUGGACAAUGGGCGAAAGCCUGAUCCAGCCAAGCGGCGUGUGUGAGGAAGGUCGUCGGAGUGUAAAGCACGUUAAGUUGGGAGGCGUUACCAACAGAGUAAGCACCGGCUAACUUCGUGCCAGCAGCCGCGGUAAUUC
rnacentral:rRNA from 1 species